rnacentral:miRNA from 1 species
GCUUCAGAGGUAGCGGAAGGC